UCUGGUGGCAAUAGCGAAGAGGUCACACCCGUUCCCAUACCGAACACGGAAGUUAAGCUCUUCAGCGCCGAUGGUAGUUGGGGUUCUUCCCCUGUGAGAGUAGGACGCCGCCAGGC
rnacentral:rRNA from 1 species